GCUCUGGUGGCUCAAUCGGAUAGAGCGUUGGACUUCUAAUCCAAAGGUUGCGGGUUCAAGUCCCGCGCAGAAUA
rnacentral:tRNA from 1 species